rnacentral:rRNA from 1 species
ACGGUGUCUUCGGACAUAGUGGCGGACGGGUGAGUAACGCGUGAGAAUCUAGCUUCAGGUCUGGGACAACCACUGGAAACGGUGGCUAAUACCGGAUGUGCCGGAAGGUGAAAGGCUUGCUGCCUGAAGAUGAGCUCGCGUCCGAUUAGCUAGUAGGUGGGGUAAGAGCCUACCUAGGCGACGAUCGGUAGCUGGUCUGAGAGGAUGACCAGCCACACUGGGACUGAGACACGGCCCAGACUCCUACGGGAGGCAGCAGUGGGGAAUUUUCCGCAAUGGGCGAAAGCCUGACGGAGCAAUACCGCGUGAGGGAGGAAGGCUCUUGGGUUGUAAACCUCUUUUCUCAGGGAAGAACACAAUGACGGUACCUGAGGAAUCAGCAUCGGCUAACUCCGUGCCAGCAGCCGCGGUAAUACGGAGGAUGCAAGCGUUAUCCGGAAUGAUUGGGCGUAAAGCGUCCGCAGGUGGCUGUGUAAGUCUGCUGUCAAAGAGCAAAGCUCAACUUUGUAAAGGCAGUGGAAACUACACGGCUAGAGUGCGUUCGGGGCAGAGGGAAUUCCUGGUGUAGCGGUGAAAUGCGUAGAGAUCAGGAAGAACACCGGUGGCGAAGGCGCUCUGCUAGGCCGCAACUGACACUGAGGGACGAAAGCUAGGGGAGCGAAUGGGAUUAGAUACCCCAGUAGUCCUAGCUGUAAACGAUGGAUACUAGGCGUGGCUUGUAUCG